GUCUGAAAGCAUUUGCUGUACAUUAACUAUGGGACACACUCUUCUAGGAAAUGUGCAAAAUAUUGUUAAACGAUAAGUUGCAUAUGCUGAGAAGAGUGCGCCAGGUAGCACUAUAAAAGCAUCAAGAGUACGUAAGAUACGCAGAAUGGUUUGUACCUGGAAGAACCCAGAGAAUGCUAGGCAGAAUGAGGUGGAGAAGAUGAGAACGAGCAGAGAUGACCUUGACUUGGGAUGCAGACAAUCUGAUGCAGGGUGUAGGGGUAUCAAAAGGACGUUCUGCUGAUGGAAUCUCUUGCCAGAAGAGUCCUGGUUUACAAUCUGUCAGUGAGAAGCAAUGGCAGCAGACGUUUUCCUGACUUGUGGCGCCCCCGUCCUUCCAAAUAUUCUGUCCUCUUUUCCAGAAUAUAAAUUACUUACAGCAGCA